AAGUUAGGCAAGUUGAAAGAUAAAACAAAAUCAAUUCAUUUUGCCUAAAUAGAGAUAUACUUCUCUUUUCCUUUUUACAAAUUUAUUCAACUUUCAGAUUUCAAAGAUGAUUGUGAACGACAAAUCUAAAAUUUCUUUUCAAUAAUACCAUAAAAUAACUUCAUAUAGUAUUUCAAAUAUUCAAUCAAAUUAUCCAAGUAUGGAGCAUUACAAAAUAUUGAGAACCCAUAAUUCAAAACAUCAUGCCGCAUGCAAAAUAUAUUAUGUGUUAAGUCAUGCAUUAAAAUAUUAAGAACAAGCAUGUUAAUGAUCAAAAUCAAUUCUUUUCAAAUAAACUCCUCCUAUUUAAAUAUAAUCUUGCACUGAUUUCAUCCUUAAAGUAUGUUUUUAAGUGAUUAAAAAUUUGACUUGAUUCUUCUUAUAUACUUUCAUUUACUUUGUCUUUCAUUUUUACUUUCUUAUGCUUUAUACUCUAUUUGCUCCCUAUCCGGUGGAGUUGGAAGGGGCACGAGGUACUACCACUAGCCUCCCUCUUGUGCCGUCCCUAAUAUACCCUACACCGAAUAGUUGGGUCAAAUAGUGCCGGGUAGUACCACUAGCCUCCCCAUUGG
rnacentral:lncRNA from 1 species